CACGUAGGAUUCGAACGUUAUCCGGAAUUACUGGGCGUAAAGCGCGUGCAGGCGGUUUGGAAAGUUGGGUGUUAAAUCUCCGGGCUCAACCCGGAGUCGUCGCCCAAUACUACUAAACUAGAGGACGGUAGAGGGAGGUGGAAUUCCGGGUGUAGCGGUGAAAUGCGUAGAUACCCGGAGGAACACCAGUGGCGAAGGCGGCCUCCUGGGCCGUACCUGACGCUCAGACGCGAAAGCUAGGGGAGCGAACGGGAUUAGAAACCCCGGUAGUCCUAGCCGUAAACGAUGUAGACUUGGUGUUGGUGGUGUGAAAUCCAUCAGUGCCACAGCUAACGCAGUAAGUCUACCGCCUGGGGAUUACGACCGCAAGGUUAAAACUCAAAGGAAUUGACGGGUCCCCGCACAAGCAGCGGAGCGUGUGGUUUAAUUCGAUGCUACGCGAAGAACCUUACCUGGGUUUGACAUAUAGGUGGUAGGGAGCCGAAAGGUGACCGACUCUUCGGAGAGCCUAUACAGGUGAUGCAUGGCUGUCGUCAGCUCGUGCCGUGAGGUGUCCGGUUAAGUCCGGUAACGAGCGCAACCCUCGCUGUAUGUUAUACGUGUCAUACGGGACUGCCGGUAUAAAGCCGGAGGAAGGUGAGGAUGACGUCAAGUCAGCAUGUCCUUUAUAUCCAGGGCUACACACACGCUACAAUGGUCAGUACAAUAGGUAGCAAAGCCGCGAGGUGGAGCCAAUCCCAAAAGCUGGCCUCAGUUCGGAUUGUAGGCUGCAACUCGCCUACAUGAAGUUGGAGUUGCUAGUAACCGCGCGUCAGCAAUAGUGCGGUGAAUACGUUCCCGGGGAU
rnacentral:rRNA from 1 species